GACGAACGCUGGCGGCGUGCCUAAUACAUGCAAGUCGAGCGGAAAGGCCUCUUCGGAGGUACUCGAGCGGCGGACGGCUGAGUAACACGUGGGUAACCUACCUAUAAGACUGGGAUAACUCCGGGAAACCGGGGCUAAUACCGGAUAAUAUUUUGAACCGCAUGGUUCAAUAGUGAAAGACGGUUUCGGCUGUCACUUAUAGAUGGACCCGCGCCGUAUUAGCUAGUUGGUAAGGUAACGGCUUACCAAGGCGACGAUACGUAGCCGACCUGAGAGGGGGAUCGGCCACACUGGAACUGAGACACGGUCCAGACGCCGACGGGAGGCAGCAGUAGGGAAUCUUCCGCAAUGGGCGAAAGCCUGACGGAGCAACGCCGCGUGAGUGAUGAAGGUCUUCGGAUCGUAAAACUCUGUUGUUAGGGAAGAACAAAUUUGUUAGUAACUGAACAAGUCUUGACGGUACCUAACCAGAAAGCCACGGCUAACUACGUGCCAGCAGCCGCCGUAA
rnacentral:rRNA from 1 species